GUAAUAGAGAUAUUAAAAUUAUCAAAUAACAUCAUUGUUAUUUAACUAAUUCAACCUUAUUUUAUGGUUUUCCAAUAUGUAAGUGUGUCUAUUAACAAACAAAUUUUUUCUCUCUCUUAUCCUUUCUCUCUCUACAUCCUCUCUCUCAAUCGUGUGGUCUCCCUUGCUCCGGCGUCCGGCAAGCGCGUGAGCGCCACCGCCGGUGCCGGAAGCUCUCUUCUCUUUAUCUUUCGGUUUUAUAUUUGCUCUCCAUCCAUUCUCUUGUCUCCUUUUCGAUAUGCCUCAGAAAUUAGGAUAGGUUUCGUUCAUACGGCAUCAGCUCCGCUCGUGAGGGGUUCGCUUCCGGUGACGUUUCCUCUUCCUCUGGUCUCUGGGUGAGUUUGCGGCAGCAGUUUAUGGUGGGUGUAGUCGGUUUUUAGAGUUCAAGGAGUGGAUCUGUGAUUUUUGCAUUUCAGAUCUGGCUCUUGGUUCUCGUCGCUCCUUGCAAGAGAGAUCUGCGCGGCUCUGUCAAGCUCCUGUCUUGGUGGUGUUAUUUGGCAGCGGCGGUGGUUUUUGAGGUUCUCUUCGGUGUCGUGGAGGUCCAAUCUCUUCCCAAUGCUGUCGAGUGAGCUCCGGAGGCUUCCACUUCCUCGGAGGCAAGUCUUGGAUCAAGUUACGCAGGUGGAGAUGGUGACUCGGUCCUGUUUCCGACUUGUGAGAUUACGGUGGUGUUCUUGAAAGGUGUCGUCUAUGGCUCCUUGAUGUUUGCUCGACGUCUCUCAUCACUACAAAUCUGUUCUACUUGGUCAUGUUCUGUUACCUUCGGUUAACGGCGACGGCCCUCUUUAUCAAAGUUGUUCUCAGUGUUCCCUUGUUCUGUCUCUGUUUGACACCGGAGACUACUUACGAUUCACAGAAGACUGUUUUUUGGUUCUCGAUUAACAGCAAAUGUCUUUGCGAUUUGUGUCAUAAUCGCUUGGUGUCAUCAUUUGGCUUGUCUCACUUCCCAGUACCAUGAAUGCUCUUUGAUCAUCUGUGGUAGUGUAGAUUAGCUAUUAUGUGCAGGUUUGAGAGUUCUUCCAGGCUGUGUGUAAUGGCGAGCUAUUGUUCUAUUGGUUUUCCCGGAGAGUGGUAUAGCAGGGGCUCCGACAGCUCUCCUUAGGUAUGUCUGUCCUCGUUCCUUCUCUCCCUUGUAUGUAUUGCGCAUCAUGGACAAAG
rnacentral:lncRNA from 1 species